CCACACCAAAAAAAUAUCCACGUGAAUGUAUUCUUUAUAAGGCUUGUGCUGAGCUCACACUCGGCUAGCCGAAGGUUUCGCAAGAAACCGAUGUACUUUUAAUCCCUUUAAACUACAUACUGAAACCUUAGCCAUCAGAAAUGAUAGCUUGUAAUCAAAUAC
rnacentral:misc_RNA from 1 species